rnacentral:lncRNA from 1 species
AUGCUUGCCCGUUCUACUGAGGAUGGCACCACACCCCAGUUUCCCACUAGGAAGAAGACUGACCCGAGACAUUCCUGGACAGUGAUCCUGAUGUCUCUUCUAUGCAGACCAUUCAAGUGUGAGAUAAGAACUUAACCCAUCUAUGAAAGCUCAGUAGUCCUGAUUCACUGAUUUGGAGAAAGGAACGUAGCAGUAAAACAGGGAGUGCUGCCUGGAGAAUGGCAGCCACAUUGGACAGCUGUUCGACUCUUCAUGAUAUCGGUACCAGCCAUCCCAAAGCCACAGGUGGGCUGCCUUAGUAGGUAGUGAGCUCCCCUCCAUUGGAAGUUUUCAGGCAAAGACUGGAUGACCACUCACUGGGCAGGUUGUAGAGGGAUUCUUCUUCAGCAGUGAGUUAGGUUAGACAGCUCCUGGAGUCCCAUCCAACUUUGAAAUUCUAUGAUUCCAUUUCCUUUCACCUGUCCAUCUUCUUAGACUAAGAGGACCACGUGUAUUUUCUUCUCAUCUAGCCUAUAUGGCCAGAUACUCUUCCUGUGCUUGGUCAAGUCUUAGAAACCACAGGGAGGGGGCAGCUAGGUGUGGCAGUAGAUAGAGCUCCGGCCUUGGAGUCAGGAGGACCUGAGUUCAAAUCUGGCCUCAAACACUUAACAUUUACUGGGCAAUAACAUUUACUGUGACCCUGGGCAAGUCACUUAACCCCGAUUGCCUCACAAAAAAAAAAAAGAAACCACAGAGGACAUUCAGGUAAGCUGUUGCUUCUCAGAUUGAGAAGCCACAGUCUUCCUCUAGCAUCUCACCCCAUUCUACUGCCAACCCAGGACUAUACAGAAAAACUCCACCCCAUGUCUCUAGAGCUCUCUCAGCUCCUGUCACCUCCACUUGGAAAGACAGUGCACAUCCAUAAAGCAUGGAACUGAGAUGAUUUUGGUGCCUCAAGAUAGGGAGGGUAAGAGCUGAAAUGAAUGAGAAGUGAUUGAAGGUCUUGCUCACCUGAGCUGGAUGGGGGGUGGGUGGGUAAAAGAACCAUACCCCUAUUCUUUUUAAAGUAAUAUAGCCCCAUUUUGUGGGAGAGAUUCCCAUUGAGUGAUCUGAUAGUGAUGCCUAUCCUUUUAGGGAAAAGAGGGAAGGCAGCCAG